GCUCGUUGGCGGUGGAUCACUCGGCUCGUGAGUCGAUGAAGGACGCAGCUAGCUGCGUGAUUUAGUGUGAAUUGCAGGA
rnacentral:rRNA from 1 species